AACGCUAGCGGCAGGCUUAACACAUGCAAGUCGAGGGGCAGCGAGGGUAGCAAUACCUGUCGGCGACCGGCGAAAGGGUGCGUAACGCGUGAGCAACUUGCCCGUAUCUGGAGGAUAAGCGAUGGAAACGCCGUCUAAUACUCCAUAACAACAGAGGUUGCAUGACUUUGUUUGAAAGCUCCGGUGGAUACGGAUAGGCUCGCGAGACAUUAGCUAGUUGGUGAGGUAACGGCUCACCAAGGCGACGAUGUCUAGGGGUUCUGAGAGGAAGGUCCCCCACAUUGGAACUGAGACACGGUCCAAACUCCUACGGGAGGCAGCAGUGAGGAAUAUUGGUCAAUGGGCGGAAGCCUGAACCAGCCAUGCCGCGUGCAGGAAUAAGGCCCUAUGGGUCGUAAACUGCUUUUGUGGUGGAGCAAUAAGGCGUACGUGUACGCCGAUGAGAGUACAUCACGAAUAAGCAUCGGCUAACUCCGUGCC
rnacentral:rRNA from 1 species